rnacentral:snRNA from 1 species
UCUGGUGUUUGCUUCCAGCAUAUACUAACAUUGGAACAAUACAGAGAAGACUAGCGUGGCUCCCGCACAAGGAUAACACACAAAUUCAUGAAGUGUUCCAUAUUAAA